rnacentral:misc_RNA from 1 species
AGCCGAAUACUUUUAUAUGAUAAGAUGAAAGAUGUAUGAGUGUGGUCUUCAGUACGUUAGAUAAUAUCAAUGAGAGUGAUACAAUUUGUUCUGCUAUGCUGUUAUCAGAUCGAAAAUUCAUUGAACUAGAUGCCCAGGAAGUAACUUUGCUAUGGGAUGCUCCAGAGAAGCAACUAUCUUCAACAUUAAUGGAUAGCAAAUGCAGCUUAUGUUUCAUUAAUCUGGACAUGUGCUGCCACAAACAAGCCCCUAUAAUAUGCCAUUUCUCAUCUUCUGAAAAUGAGCGCAUUGUUUCUCUAUUUAAAUUACAUGGGUGAUUUUUUGUAGUCCCAUGCCCUG